rnacentral:sRNA from 1 species
UUUUUUUUUCCUUUUUUUUU